CAGAACCCUAGAUGGCUUUGCUUUUUAUACACUUGCUUAAUGUGUUAGUGAAAUAAAUAGAAGGAAAGGAAAAAAAGAGGGAAGGGGAGGGGGAGAAGGAGUAGGGAGAGGGAAGGAAGGAUGGAAGACCCUGAGCUCUCCUUUCUUAAGGAAGGAUUAUUCAGUAAACAGUGAACUUGCUAGACAGACCACGAUGGGGUUGUGCAUUUCUCACGGUCUCAGACCCCAUUCUGUGCCUAGGUGUAAUGAGGUCUUCAGGGGGACAUGGAAGAAGUUACAAAACCAAAGCAGGGUCAGAGAGGGACCUCCAUCCUGGGUUCUGAGCUAGGAAAGGAGCUGUGUGUUACCAGACACUCAGAUAAGCAAAUUUGAGGAAGAGCAGAGGUCUUUAAGCAUAACUUCAGAACUUCUACCACUUGUAACUUUUUACAGAGUACUUCUUAACACUAUAGACUUUAUAUAUAUAUAAUGAUCUCAUUAAAGUCUCAAAGUAAUAGUGUAAAUAAAAGAGGUACAUGUGGCACCCACAGUGGGGUUCCCCUUGUAGUAGGGAGAAUUCUAGCGUGAGCCAAUGAUCCAAGGCUGCCUGGAAUCCAUCCUGAUUGGGGGCGGGGCCUGUAACCAUAGAGACACGUGGGGCGGGGCCUUCUCGAGGUGGGGAGGUGUGGAAGCGGGCCCAGAUGAUCUCAGGGAGGGCGGUAUCCUGUUUCUCUCUGCUGGUGCCAGUUUCUCAAGACUAUGUUACCACCCGACCGUGAGACACCUUCGACUACGUGACCACAAGACCCCAGCUGCGGGCUAAAGAUAAACUGAGGCCCCCUCCCUCCAGGGCACAAUUCCCCAUCGAUAGGGUAUGAGAAGGGUUGGCUGUAAAAGGAGAGCGCUGGUUUCUCUCUAAAGCCAGUCACCUACUCUCUCUCUUCCUGUACUAAAUCUUUGUCUGCCUGA